UCGAGAAUCUUCCGCAAUGCACGAAAGUGUGACGGAGCGACACCGCGUGAUUGAUGAAGCCCCUCGGGGUGUAAAGAUCUUUUAUGAGUGAAGAAGUAUAUUGACAUUAGCUCAUGAAUAAGGGGCUCCUAAUCUCGUGCCAGCAGGAGCGGUAAUACGAGAGCCCCAAGCAUUAUCCGGAAUUAUUGGGCGUAAAGGGUGCGUAGGUGGCUGUAUUAGUCGUAUUUCAAAGACCUGUGCUCAACACGGGGAAGGGAUACGAAACGGUACGGCUUGAGUAUGUGAGAGGUGUGCGGAACUCAUGGAGUAGGGGUGAAAUCCGUUGAUAUCAUGGGGAACACCAAAAGCGAAGGCAGCACACUGGCACAUUACUGACACUGAGGCACGAAAGCGUGGGUAG
rnacentral:rRNA from 1 species